rnacentral:rRNA from 1 species
GAUGAACGCUGGCGGCGUGCCUAAUACAUGCAAGUCGAGCGAACGGACGAGAAGCUUGCUUCUCUGAUGUUAGCGGCGGACGGGUGAGUAACACGUGGAUAACCUACCUAUAAGACUGGGAUAACUUCGGGAAACCGGAGCUAAUACCGGAUAAUAUUUUGAACCGCAUGGUUCAAAAGUGAAAGACGGUCUUGCUGUCACUUAUAGAUGGAUCCGCGCUGCAUUAGCUAGUUGGUAAGGUAACGGUUUACCAAGGCAACGAUGCAUAGCCGACCUGAGAGGGUGAUCGGCCACACUGGAACUGAGACACGGUCCGGACUCCUACGGGAGGCAGCAGUAGGGAAUCUUCAGCAAUGGGCGAAAGCCUGACGGAGCAACGCCGCGUGAGUGAUGAAGGUCUUCGGAUCGUAAAACUCUGUUAUUAGGGAAGAACAUAUGUGUAAGUAACUGUGCACAUCUUGACGGUACCUAAUCAGAAAGCCACGGCUAACUACGUG